AUGGCUCAACUCCUGGCAAGUCACCCCGGGCGCAGCUGUGGAAGUUGGUGCAGGGCAGUUCAUGGAACAGAGGCAAAGAAAACGGCCACGGGGCAGCCUACGGAGCAGAUGCUGUCUAGCAACGGCCGGCUUACGGCGAGGCGAUGGGUUGCUAGAGGUAGCGGAGGCUUAGGCAAGCCACUCGGAGGUGCGGCAGAAGAGGCCGGCUCAGUGCGGUACAGCGCGGGCGAUGCUUCAAGGCAGUGGCGACGCAACAGAAGCGGGUUGAGGCAGAGGCGGCUGCAGCCCGGGCACAACAGGAGCAGAGUGAGGCAGCCCGCACCAGCAGCCAAGGCCGGUGACAACAACUGGAUGACACAACGAUCCGACUCGACGAGGGCUCAAGUUGAAGGCGGCUCGACCAGGGGGGCCAAGGCAGACGGCGAGGCCGAUAAGGUGCGCUGGUGA
rnacentral:rRNA from 1 species